GACGUAGGGCGCAAGCGUUGUCCGGAUUUAUUGGGCGUAAAGAGCUCGUAGGCGGCUUGUUGCGUCGACCGUGAAAACCCGUGGCUCAACUGCGGGCUUGCGGUCGAUACGGGUCGGGCUAGAGUUCGGUAGGGGAGACUGGAAUUCCUGGUGUAGCGGUGAAAUGCGCAGAUAUCAGGAGGAACACCGGUGGCGAAGGCGGGUCUCUGGGCCGAUACUGACGCUGAGGAGCGAAAGCGUGGGGAGCGAACAGG
rnacentral:rRNA from 1 species